UACGGAGGGUGCAAGCGUUGUCCGGAAUCACUGGGCGUAAAGGGCGCGUAGGCGGCUCAUGAAGGCUGUGGUGAAAGUCCGGGGCUCAACCUCGGAUCGGCCGUGGCGACUCGUGGGCUGGAGCACUGUAGAGGCGGGUGGAAUUCCGGGUGUAGCGGUGGAAUGCGUAGAGAUCCGGAAGAACACCAGUGGCGAAGGCGGCCCGCUGGGCAGUGGCUGACGCCGAGGCGCGACAGCGUGGGGAGCGAACAGG
rnacentral:rRNA from 1 species